GCGGAGGAGAAAACCGCGAAGGACACGAGGAGAGACAGAGGACGGACAGGAGAGAGCCUUCGAUAUCAUCGUGACGCCGCCUCGGGCGCCGCGACGCUGCCAGACGCCGACAGUCGAACGCGAGACGCGUCACGGUUCGAGCUAACGCGACGAGUCCUCUUCGAAAUCGGCUGCUUCCUCUUUCUUCUCUUCACUCUCAUUCUCUCUCUCUCUCUCUCUCUCUCUCUCUCUCUCUCUCUCUUACUCUCUCUAUCUCUCUCUAUCUCUUUUGUACACUCUUUCGCUCUUUGUUUCUCUCUUUCUCUCAUUCUCUCUCUCUUUCUCUCUCUCUCUCUCUCUCUCUCUCUCUCUCUCUCUCUUACUCUGAUGGCUCGUCGUCUCCUUCCUGCCACCACCGCCACCAUCGUUGCCUCUGCCUCUACUGCUACCGCUGAUCUUGCAGCAGUUCGCGAAUGGAGUCGCGGCACAUCCACCGUGAACGUCGUUCGAGGUAUGCUGUUCGGCUCGGCUUGGCUCGACUCAAUUCGACUCGACUCGAUUCGAUUCGACUCGUCUCGUCUCGUCUCGUCUCGUCUCUUAUCAUCUAACUUCCUAUCUCGUUGGUGGAUUUUCUCGGAAAGGAGAAAAAAAAAAGCGCAAUAGUUUCGCGCGUGAGGAAGCUAUUUCAUAAGGUUCCUCCGACUUUUGACAACAAUACAAUUGGGACGAACUAUCGAGAACGUCGGCUAAAUAAUGGAAACGAACGACCACACGUCAGAUGAUCCAGGAAGUAAUAGCACACAUAUCAAGGAUCGAUACCUGUACGAAAUAAAACUCUGAAUGAAGAGAAGAUGACACUUACCUGAUACACGCAGUCAACUUUGAAGAACGAUAAAGCUGUCUUCCUCGUAAUACAGAUAGAAAAGUUUAAAAGAAUCAAAGCGGUCCUUUGAAUGGUGAUCACCAGUUUCUAGAUUCAGAGUUAUUGUUAUAUCCGGCUGCUACAUGACAGUACCAAAAUGAUCUUGGAUUUGAUGAUCGGCGAACAUCUUCCAAUCUUCAAUGAUGUCUCGAUGAAGUCUCGACAAAGUAUGUGAAACCCCCUGUACGUAUACUGAAUGUAUCCUGAGUGUAUUCCUGUCCGGUAUACCUUCAGUAUACGUAACAGGAGGCUACACCGGUCUACGAUGGAUUUCUCUCGUCGCUUAGAUCAUCUUCUUCAUCAUCCUCAUCAUCAUCAUCACCAUCAUCAUCCGUAUUGUCUCUUCGUAAUCUCUUCAAAUAUCUUUGAUAUAACACUUCUAUAAUGAUUUGUGCGCAAUUAGAUAUUAAGACGAUCGUUUAAUUAAAUAAUAGACGUUGUAGAUAUCGUGAUCGUUUAAAUAAGAAUAGAUUAAACAUUGUAUUAGAUUAAAUCCAAUAAUUCGAUGUAUUCAUUGUUUCAUUUCUAAACAAAUGUAAUUUCUAUGAGUCAUUCUUAUCGAAACAAUUCUGAUUGUUCUUUAUCAGGUUCGAAGUUACGUAUUAAAAUCGAAGAUUUUUAAUUACAAUGUAAAUACUUUUUAUAAAGGAGGUUAUAAUAACGUCCGUGAUAAUAUUAUUAUUUUUUUUGCAUUCGUAUGACCUUUCUUUUAUCAAUUAAACAAAACAUGAACAUGAAUUAAUUCUUAUCGAAUGACAAUUGUAAUAAAUAUCGACGUAUACGUACGUACGUACUUAAAUAUGACGAUUUCAGCGAAACACAUGCGUGAUUAAUGAUGAUAAAUAUUUGAAUAAAUUCUACGUUAAAUUGAAA